rnacentral:misc_RNA from 1 species
AAGUCGUAACAAGGUUUCCGUAGGUGAACCUGCGGAAGGAUCAUUAACACAAAAAAAUUUUUCUUUUUUUGGGAAAAAUAUUUUACAACCCCCCUAUGAAUUUAAAAUUUUUUAAUGAAUUAUAAUAUUUUUUUUAUAAUUCAUUGAACUAUUUAUUUAUUUAUUAUUUCUUCAAUUUUUUUAACCCCAUAUAUACAUCUUUUUAUUUAUAAAUUCUGAUAUAUUUUUUUAUAUUAUACUAUAUAAUAAAAAAAAACAACUCUUAACAACGGAUAUCUUGGUUCUC